rnacentral:rRNA from 1 species
AUUGAACGCUGGCGGCAUGCCUUACACAUGCAAGUCGAACGGUAACAGGUCUUCGGAUGCUGACGAGUGGCGAACGGGUGAGUAAUGCAUCGGAACGUGCCCAGUAGUGGGGGAUAGCCCGGCGAAAGCCGGAUUAAUACCGCAUACGACCUGAGGGUGAAAGGGGGGGAUCGCAAGACCUCUCGCUAUUGGAGCGGCCGAUGUCAGAUUAGCUAGUUGGUGGGGUAAAGGCCUACCAAGGCAACGAUCUGUAGUUGGUCUGAGAGGACGACCAGCCACACUGGGACUGAGACACGGCCCAGACUCCUACGGGAGGCAGCAGUGGGGAAUUUUGGACAAUGGGCGCAAGCCUGAUCCAGCAAUGCCGCGUGCAGGAAGAAGGCCGUCGGGUUGUAAACUGCUUUUGUCAGGGAAGAAAUCUUCUGGGUUAAUACCUUGGGAGGAUGACGGUACCUGAAGAAUAAGCACCGGCUAACUACGUGCCAGCAGCCGCGGUAAUAC